GCAAUCCGGUGAAGGGUGAGUUCGCGUCCGAUUAGAUAGUUGGUGAGGUAACGGCCCACCAAGUCGACGAUCGGUAGCCGACCUGAGAGGGUGAUCGGCCACAUUGGGACUGAGACACGGCCCAAACUCCUACGGGAGGCAGCAGUGGGGAAUAUUGGGCAAUGGGGGAAACCCUGACCCAGCAACGCCGCGUGAGGGAAGAAGGUUUUCGGAUCGUAAACCUCUGUCCUAGGUGAAGAGGAAGAGACGGUAGCCUAGGAGGAAGCCCCGGCUAACUACGUGCCAGCAGCCGCGGUAAUACGUAGGGGGCGAGCGUUGUCCGGAAUGAUUGGGCGUAAAGGGCGCGUAGGCGGCCCGGUAAGUCUGGAGUGAAAGUCCUGCUUUUAAGGUGGGAAUUGCUUUGGAUACUGUCGGGCUUGAGUGCAGGAGAGGUAAGUGGAAUUCCCAGUGUAGCGGUGAAAUGCGUAGAGAUUGGGAGGAACACCAGUGGCGAAGGCGACUUACUGGACUGUAACUGACGCUGAGGCGCGAAAGUGUGGGGAGCAAACAGGAUUAGAUUCCCUGGUAGUCCACACUGUAAACGAUGAAUGCUAGGUGUAGGGGGUAUCGACCCCUUCUGUGCCGCAGUAAACACAAUAAGCAUUCCCGCCUGGGGAGUACGGCCGCAAGGUUGAAACUCAAAGGAAUUUGACGGGGGCCC
rnacentral:rRNA from 1 species